UAUUUUGUACAAAUACACUUCCAGCAGUCGUUCCGAAUCUUUCGAUAGGGGGCGCUAUCUUCACGCGCCUCUAAAAGCAACGCGACACUCUGGUCACGUGGUAUGCCCGAGUAGGACGGCCAUCUUCCCUAAAACACAAACAACAAGAGCGUACUAGACAUCAACACGCAACGAUCAUUGGAGAGGGAGAGAGAGCAAACAACUGUAAACACGGACCACGAUUCUCGAGGAGGAGCACAGAACACAAACAGCUGCACAUGCAUCCAGAGUGAAGAUCGUCGAGUUCGACGGGGCGACUGGACAGUAACAAAUACGAUAAAGGAGGGAGAGGGAUUGUCGGCGUGAGGAGGGGGUCACCAGCUGGGACCUGGUCCAUGCAGCAUUGCCAGUACAACAGAAAGAGUUAAAAAGACACACACAAAUAGAGAAGCUUAAGAGAGAAGCUUAUUGGGGUCAUAACUGCUUCUGGCAGCUGUAUUAUCAACAAGUUCGUCUCUUUUUUUUUUUUUUUGUCUCUUUGACUGUUUUGUUUGUUUCCUGUAGUCGAUCGAUUUAAGACGUCAGUAUCAAAGCUCUGCAGUUUUCGCAGUCCAACAGGUAUUACUCAUUUUAGGGGGGUUUGAUUUCUUUUUUUUUUGUUUCCCAUUUGUUUUUAUUUGUUUGUUUUCAUCGGCUGUGAAUGAGAGCUCUUACCGUGUCUGACCUUUUGUAUUUCUGCUCUCCUGCACACACGCCCUGAGUAAGGCAGCUAUAACCCUACUCUCUCUUAAGUUGGCUACUUUGAAAUACACACACACAUAAACACACACACACACCUUUCAGCCCUCUCACCCAGACCUGGUCCAGCCUAGUCUUGCCUGCGCCACUCCCCCGGACAGGACUUUCACCUCUGAGAAGGAAGGAAGAAUAUGACUGCUGAAACACUUAACUUUGGCCCAGAAUGG